rnacentral:lncRNA from 1 species
CACCCUCUUCUCCCUCACACCUCCUGCUGCCAUAACCCAACCCAAACCUCACCAUAAAUGAACCCUCAUGGUCCCCCCUCCUAUCCUUUCUCUCUUCCACAUCAUCAAGACCAUAACGACCUCUGUCAGAAGAAGAUAUUCCAUUUUACCCGUUUCCACGCGCUCUUGCUUCCCUUGGAUAGAAUUCGGAUUAAUGGUAGACGUAGGAUUUGAAGACUUUAAAUACUAGUCUUCCAUUUGUCUUAGAACCAUCCAGAAAGAAGAACAUGAGGGGAUUUUCGUUUGGGGGCAGGGAAUUUUCGGAAUUUAUUGAAGGGAAAAUUCGAGUUUUUAGGGGGAUUUCUUGUUGAAGAAGGAGAAGCUUCGAGAGGGAGCUAUAUAUUUGGGUCUGGACAGAGAUGGGUUUUUUUUUCUUUCGGAGAAAAAUUGGUAAAAGAAGAAGGGCGAGGGUUUUCUGAUUUUCAUGUUCUUCUUUCCAAUUUUCACUUCAUUGGCGUACAAAAAGCUUAGAGCUCUCUAUUAGUUUUUCUUUUGAUUUUCAAAAUAGAAAAUACAAAAAAAUAUAUAUCAGCUUCUGAUUUGUUUAACAAGAAAUUGAGUUUAGCUGAGGUCCGUCAACUGCUCGAGAGAUAUUUAUUCGUGGUUCCUGCCGCUGCUGUGUCGCUGGUUCGAUUCCUGUUUGUCUGCUGCUGUUACUUCAAAUUUCAGUGCCGAGUUCACUUGUAUUCAAUUUCAAAAGAACUUAAUUGAAGAAUUUUGCAAUGUUAGGUUCACCUCUCUCCUUCAUAUUCUUGUUAAUGGUGAUUGAGACAUGAUAAGAGCCGUAGGUCUGUCAAAUUUGGAAAGUGUUUGAGUCGACUUAGAAAAGGGAUGGGUUAAGGGAUGAUUUGCGCGAACAUGUAUGGGAGUUAUACUUAAAUGUUCUGGAAUGCCUUUUGGCUCGAAUUAUUUGCCUUGUGACCUGAAUGAUUGAUGUCCAAUCGAUUGUGAAAUGGUGCAGUUUAAUAUGUGUUCAUGCUUGUCUCGAUCGCUUUCAUUGAAUACUCGGGUUGCUUGUUUUGUUAUGUGAAUUAGCAUAUGAAAAUAAGUGAAUCAUGCUUAGAGUCAAGUUAUUCUGCCUGUCAUAUUGCAUUUCACUCACUGAUGCUGCAAUCCUUGUUAGUUUCCCUGUAAUUCACAUGUCUGCGCGCAUUUAAGAGUUAUUGAUUGUUAAUCUAACUCUAACAUACACAUCAACCUAGUGAGUUUGUUGAUUAAUGGCAUCCCUGAUUUGCAUAUUGAGAUCAUUUCCUCCAUGAAAGAUAUUCUUGCAUGUUUCAGUCCGUUAGCCUUUUUGUUUGAAAACACAUGGCAUUUGGUGCUUUGCUUCUUUUGUUAACUAGAAGAUCGAUCGCAUAACUAAGGUCUAGGAUGAUUAUUUCAUUGCUCCCGAGUUUAUUUUGUUGGCUUAUUUGAGUUGAACCUGGAUAAUUGACAAAGUUGGAAUAUCUGCGAUUGUGAUUUAAUGUUGAAUCGCAUUGAGUGUAAUCAGAUUACUAAUGUUUAGAUUCAUUCAUAUCUGGUGAUUUCUUAUUGAUGUGUCUAUGUGCAUGCAACUUCACUUGUAAACAACAGAAGGUUAGUUUUCAUGUUUUGUGGAGACCAUAUUUGAACCAAGGAAUUAGAAGCCCUGUUGUUGCCCUUUGCAUAACUCAGGUGAUGGUGAUUCCGAAUGCAUUGGACUGCAAAGUCCUUCUAUUAAGAUAAUAGAUCAGAUCUCCAUUUAAAGGACCUAUACAUAUGUAGUUUUAGUGCAUUGAACAUGAAUUGUUUCUCUCAUUUUCUUUGUAGGAAGUUUACGCUUUGGUGAGGCCUAAGGUGUAUAUUUUAAUGUGCUUGUCUGCAUGUGAUGUCCUAGAAUAUUUUAAUGUGCUUGUCUGCUUGUGAUAUCCCAGAUGGUCGAAGGGUUUUAUCAAUUGCCCUUUCACGUUGGUUUGUUCCAAUAGAAAACCAUGUACUUAUGUUCUGUUGAUGAGUCGACGUCAUGCCGGUGUUACAUAAGUUUCAAUUGAAUUUAAGAUAGGGUCCUUCAUUUAAAUGGUGUUAGUUAGGGUGCUGUGAGUGAGAUCAACAAGACAUAGGUGGCUCUUAUCAUAUUUCAAGCAUACCAAUUCUUCUUUAUUCUAUUUUGUUACUAUCUUCUUUAUUAGUUUAUUGCCUCAGUGUUUGUGUGUCUUUCUGUAUUAUUUGGCCUUAUGGAAUUUGUUCAGUUGAAUGAUUGUUGGGAUGUGGGGGUAGGGAGAGGCCGAAGCACAUUAGCAAUUAAUUUAUUUCCCUGCUUUAGGUAACCGACUCGGCCUAAUAAAAUGAAAAGUUAAAAACAAAACAUGAGCAUGAAUCGAAUUGUUACUUUUACUCAGUUCUUUUUAUUUUUUUUAUUGAUGAUAUCAUUCGUUAGGAGCAUGUCUAGGCCGACUACACCUUGGUUAGGCAAGCCUUGGGAUUUUUAUUAGUUUUGAGGUGAGAGGUCAUUCCCUUAGUUAAUUUGUCCGGGGAAUGCCCCGAGGAAUUUGUAUAUAUUUUAUUAUUUCAGGGGUAUGCCUCGAAGUGAAUGUAAAUGGAAGCCAAAAUUAGAAACUUGUAGUAUUUUUAUUUUAUAUUUAUUUUUCUUUUAUUUAGGUGGGGAUGACCUCGAGCCUCUUGUGUGUUUAUUUUUCUUUUUCUGUGUUUUCUACCUCAAUUGAUUAUUUUAAAAGCCAAUUUGAUCAUGUACGCAACCGUGACUUUCACGGGACUUGGGGAGUGCCUAACACCUUCUCCCCGAGUCAAAUAAACCCCCUUACCCGAAUCUCUGGUGCAGACUUAAUUUUAGAGUCUCAAGUGUUUUUAAAGGAAAAAAUCAUUUUUAGAAAAACGGUGACCUAACACACCGAAAUCAAAUGUCUGGUGGCGACUCUGAGUUAAUCCUUUUGAACACAAAUUUUUGUCACUUUCUAAUUUAAAAUCCUUUUCAAGCUUUACUAAAAUCUUUUUUAUUAAUUUAAGAGGGUUAGUAAGGGUUGUUUAAAGAGGAGUGUGACAGCUCUGGCGACUCUGCUGAGGACUUGCAGGUUCGAGCUAAUACUUGAUCUUGUUGGCUUUGAGGAUAUUCGGUUGAGGUUUUUAUGUGUUUUAUUUGCUUUAUUCGAGUUUAUUUUGUUUAUGUCGUUUUAUUUUCUAGUUGCUUAUUUGUUUACAAUAUUUUCUUUACGUGAAACUGCUUUAUAAAUUAUCAUCAUUUGCAUGACCCCCGAGUCUUCUUUCUGCAACAAGUCUUCCGGAGUACGUUUGAGCGUACACGGCCUUUUUGUGAGUCACCCGUGUCAUUAGGGGUGUAGCGUGGGAGCGUGGAGUGGGCGGACAGCUAGAGCAGCCGCCAUCGACCACGUGCCGCCCCGAAUUUCCUUGUCUAGUGAACCCCAACAGUAGGUCAACCUUUAGGUCAUACUUAUGUGCAUCAUAUCAUUUAAACCUAGCAGGGUUCGGUCUCAGGCACCGUGUCCCGUUGUAGGAGGCCUAUCCAAAUUAUGUUAAAAUGGGCUCAUGGCCCAAAAAGACAUUUAAUCAUCCCUAUGUGCUACAUGUUGCAUCUCUUUAGGGGUAAAAGGGUUAUUUGGCGGACCAAGGAUAUUUGAGUGUGAAAUAUAAAAUGAAGUAGGUGAUUUUACACUUUCCCAUUAUUUUCCAAAAAUGAAAAAGAAAAUCCAAAAAAAGAUUUUACACUUUUCCAUUAUUUUUCAAAAAAGACAAAAAAAAAUUGAAAAUAGAAAAUCCAAAAAAGAUUUUACACUUUUCCAUUAUUUUCCAAAAAUGACCAAAAAAAAUUAAAAAUAGAAAAUCCAAAAGAUUUUACACUUUUCCAAAAAACAAAUUCAAAAAAAGGAGAAAAAGAAAAUUCAAAAAGAUUUUACAUCUUUUAUCAUUUUCCAAAAAUUCAAAAAAAGAAGAGGAAAUCCAAAAGAUUUUACAUUUUCCAUCAUUUCUCAAAAGACAAAAAUAUGGUUUUCCAAAUUAGUUGCAUUUUUUUUAAAGGCUUUCUCCCAUGUCCAAUCUUCCGAACUACGCGAACCUGAUUCUCGUCUUUCGAGACGUGAUACGUAGGCAACCCACACAGGGUCUGAUCUUCCUAGUGUCUUAGGUUCUUGUCUUUGCGGGGUCUUAGCCAUAUCUUGUAUUUCUAGCAACUUUCGGCCACAUCGGCCAUUCUUGCAAAUUGGGGUCAUUUUCGCAAAAGUGGUUCAAUAUCCCAUGUCUUAGGAUCUUUAGUACAUAACUAGGUGUCAUAUUAUUUUAAGGUCCGUCCUUUUCAAGUUUGCAUCUUCAGCCACUUCUGGCCAUAUCAACCAUUUUUGUAAAACGGGUCAUUUCUGCAAAUUAAUUUUGGGCCAUGAUUGUUAAGAGUUAGAAUUCAUAUAAGCUUUAGUGAGGUAUUCCCAUGUCUUUGAGGUCACCUUUCUUGAGUUUGCAUUUUAGCCUCUUUUGGACCCUCAGGCCAUUUUGCAGAAAUAGCCCAACCGUCCCCUAGGAAAUUUUGUGGCGUCACAUAAUGUCUUGAGUCAUUAACCAUGUUUUUCCCAUACAGGUAUGGAUUCACUCACCAAUGCUAGAUUAUCAAUGGUGGUCAAAGUCCCUAGAAGGCUAGUAAAAUGGUGGAACAUGUUCACAUUACUUGAGCAGCGUGAUUUGAUGGGUAAAUUAGGGACUCUUAUUUUUUUGAUGGACAUCACUCCCCGUCCCGACCUUGUAGAAGCAAUGUUGAUAUUUUGGGACCCACAGGGAAUGGUAUUCAAGUUUGGGGAUCUUGAGAUGACACCCACCUUAGUUGAGAUAGCCGGAUUAACCCGCCUGCCAUACCUAGACAAGGAUUUGAUUUAUCCAAGGGCUCAUUCAAGCACCAAGUUCCUUAAGAUCAUAGGGAUGGAUUUGAAAACUCACAUGGGAUGUCUAUAUCAAUCUUGGGUACCUUUGGACUUUUUAUUCGAGAGGUUUGCUCGUCCUACUGGGUAUGAGACCUUCGUAGAUGAAUUUUCCAUAUCAUAUGAUUCUUGGAAGAAGAGGCAUCCUAUGGUCUUCAUUAUUGCAUUGCUGGGUCUCUUGGUAUUUCCUUUGGAGGGUAGACAUAUUAGCACGCGUCUGGGGUCAAUAGCCUUUGCACUCUUCCAUGAUAAACACAGUAGUAAGGUCACCGUGGUUACGACAAUUUUGGCAGAGAUCUAUCGUGUUUCGACCAGGAUUCGAGAAGGUGGGAGGUUCUUUGAGGGAAGCAACUUGUUGCUACAGCUGUGGAUGAUGGAACACUUACAUCCCGCCACCAUGUUUGAGAAAGAUGUGAUUGACCGUUGUCUGAGAGAUCGAGUGAAGUGCAUUGAGCAUAGGAUGACGUUCGAUAAGUUUGCCUUACCACUCGGAGUUCAGGAUUGGGUUGAUUAUUUAGGAUCCUUGACUGAAGAGAAGAUUUUGUGGUCAUACCUAUGGAUUGAUUUGGACGUGAUCUUAGCAGGAUCUCGCGUGCAAGACUUCUUUGUACUGAUUGGACUUUGGUGUACUAGACCAUAUACCCUUGCUAGAGUGAUGCGUCAGUUAGGGAGGCAGCAAGAAGUCCCCUACAUUCCUGAUUCUCGUGACUUCAUUAGUGAAUUUGACACUAUGACGCAUAGGGAGGUCGACAUCCAGCCCUAUUGGCGUCAUGCAAUGAAGAUGGGUAGGGAUACUUUAGCUGCUGACCCACAUUCACCUGAGUAUACCCAUGAGUACUUCAUAUGUCUACAGUCUACUCAACGAGGGGUUGGCAGGCCAUUGCCCCGACGUGUUAGAGGAGUAUUUGAUGAGGAGGCCAUCCCAUGGAUAUUGCUUAGAUAGUUGAUGGAUCGAUUUACCCAGGCAGAGGAGGCCCAUGCAGCAGAAAGGGUUGGGGUUCGAGGUACACUUCAGUCACUGAGAUCACAGUUGGCAGGGUUGGUAGAGAACAUGGGACAGCACCGUGAGUACCUUACUAGAGUCAGCCUUCCAGAUGCAGGCGCGCAUUCUAGGAUUCUCAUUCCUAGCUUCGAGGUGUCCUUGCAGGGUAUAAUACAGAGCUUAGAUUCGACAGGAUUGACGGGGCCAUCCGGAUCUUCAUCGGACCCGUCCCAGCCAGGACAGUCGCAUUCAGGAGCAGCUUGAGGAGUCAUUCUAUUUAGAUGUUUUGAGAUUGUCUUAUGUUGUCUUUUACUUUCGUGUCUUGUCUAGGAGUACUGAGUCUUUUAGGUAGUGUCAGAGUCUGUCAUAGUGUAGUUGAAACUGUCAUGUCUUUCAUUAUCGUGCUUCUCUUUGUAUUUUAAUAUCGAAAAUUUUUAAACAAAAAAUCCCAAAAAGAUCUUGUUUUUAGUUUAUUUUGCAUCACUUUUCCAGAACUACGCUUGGUCUGAUUCAUGAGGAACAUGAUACGUAGGUAACCUACAUCGGGUUCGAUCAAAUCAUUUUUGGUUCAAAAAAAAAGAAAAAAAGAAGAGAGAGAGAGAGAGAAGAGAUAAAAGAGAAAAAAAUGAUAAGAGGUGUUGGAAAAGAAAGAGAAGGAAGGAUCAAAAUGAGCAAAUCGGGAUGAUGCCCUAUGACCCUGCGACCCUCAAAGCCAUUUUAGAACUGUUAAUUGUUGCUAGAUGCAUUGCACGUAAUGUGAUAUUAUUAUUUGAUAAAUGCCCUAACGCUAACAUGGUGGUUUUGUGUUGUUGACCUCUGUUAUCUUUAUUUAAUAACAUGAAGGUGGUUAUUUUGUUGGCAUCCUGGCAAGUCAUCCAUACAACACACGAUCAAAGCGUCAAACAUUCAUGGCUAGAAAGGAAACAGACACUGGAGUUGUAGACCCACCAAGGGAGAUUGUUGAGUCGGAAUCGGAAUUGCAAGAGGAGGUCCGGAGGUUGAAGCACCAGAUGGCGGAAAUGUAUCAUGCCUGGAUUAAGGUACACCCUCCACCCUCGUUCCCUACCAACUACACAGAAAACCUUGCUUCCAUUCCACCACUCUCUCAAUCCCAGAUGCCUAAUACCAUUGAUCUUUCCCCACAACAUGCACCUGGCUUUACCCCUUACCACAACUACCCCAACACUUCGGCCCAAACUUUUCAUGCUCCACCAGCCAAAACAACCUCGUACCUUGCUCCGACAUUUGCUCCUAUUUUUGUACCCCCUCCACAAGCUACCCUCCAACGAUCCUCUAGUGAGCCUGCAUUCCCAGCUCCAGAUACCCAAUAUUAUGCCCCGGAACCCACAUUCAAAGUCCCAGAUCCUUACUCCUACACUCCCCACUUUGAGCCUCAUGUUGAAACUGAAAACCACCCAAGAACGCAGAGCAGGAGGAGAUGUUUAGGAAGGUAAAGAGUAUGGAGCAAUCCUUGAGAAAUAUGCAAGGGUUGGGAAACCAGGUGAGUGUGGCCUAUAAGGAUUUGUGUUUGUUCCCUGAUGUCCAACUGCAUGUCGGGUUCAAGAUGCCUAAGUUUGACUUGUAUGACGGACAUGGGUAUCCUGUAGCUCAUCUGAGGGGUUAUUGCAGUAAAAUGAGAGGCGCCGGGGGAAAAGACGAAUUACUGAUGGCAUAUUUUAGCCAGAGUCUGAGUGGGGAAGCUUUAGAAUGGUACACCCGCCAGGACGCUAGCAGGUGGUACACUUGGGACGAUAUGGCUCAGGCCUUUGCCCGACACUUUCAGUACAAUAUAGACAUUUUCCCAGACCGUAUAUCUUUGACAAAGGUGGAAAAGAAACCCAGUGAAAGCUUUAGAGAAUAUGGGUUCCGAUGGAGGGAGUAAGCUGCACGAGUCAAUCCUCUGAUGGAAGAAAACGAGAUGGUUGAAUACUUUCUUCAAGCCCUGGAGACCACUUACUAUGGUCACUUGAUCUCAGCCAUUGGUAAAUCUUUCAAUGAUGUGGUAAAAUGGAAGAAAUAGUGGAAGAGGGGCUCAAGUCGAGCAAGAUCAUGAGCUAUUCUGCUAUAAAAGCAACCACCCAGGAGUAUAAAAGAGAGAGGCAACAACGGAAACAAACCUUUACCCCGCUUGGAGAGUCCUAUGCUAGUCUAUUUCAAAGGUUAAGGCAGUUAGACGUCUUGAGGCCGAUUGAGUCAAAGAUACCAAAUCCCCCUCUAAAGAACCUCGAUUAUUCCCUAAGAUGCACCUAUUGUUCUGAUGCUCCAGGUCAUGACAUAGAGAAAUGCUGGCAUUUUAAAAGGGAAAUCCAGGAGCUCAUUGAUACAAACCAAAUUGUAGUCCAAAGUCCAGACACAUCGAACAUCAACCAAAACCCUUUGCCAGCCCAUGCAGAGACGUAUAUGAUUGAAAUAGUUCACAAAGAUAGGGAGCCCAAGAACUCUUCUAAGUCCGUCAUGAUGAUUUGGUCCAGUGAAAGUAAUUUGGUUAAAGCUCCAGACUUUACCAAAGCAAAGCCCUUGACAGUUGAAGGGGCGACAAAAAAGUCAAGAUUGCUCAAUUUGAAGCCACCAGUGUUGGUUGUGAAAGGGCCUUCGAAAGAUAUUGGGGCAAGUCCGAAAAGCUCAAAAGUAGUAGUGUUAGGGAUUCCAAGUAAGCCUAUCAUAGUUGUGAAGGGGGAUCCUAUUACCCGUAUACUCAUUAAACCAAUAACCCAGCUGCCAGUGGUUGAUGCCAAGGCUAUUCAGUAGAAUUACAAACAAGUGAUAGUGACAUACAAAGGAAAAGAAAUAGAGGAAGAAGUUAAUGAAACUGGAGGAUUGACUCAUUUUGGGAGAUGCUUCACCCUAGAAGAAUUAAGGAAAGCCAAGCCAUUCAAAGAUAGCCAAAUGCUAGUAAAGAAAUCGGUCACCGAGGAAGAGGCUGAGAAGUUCCUAAAAAGAUGAAAGUGUAGGAUUAUUCCAUUGUAGAGCAAUUAAGGAAAACACCAGCUCAAAUUUCUCUUUUUCUUUGCUGAUACAUUCAGAUAAACAUCGCAGGGUCUUGAUGAAGAUUUUGAAUGAGGGACAUAUCCUUGAUAAGAUCACAGUGAAUCACUUGGAAAAGAUAUCUAGCAAGAUCUUCGAAGUAAACAGGAUCACUUUCUCAGAUGAUGAACUUCCUAUAGAGGGUACAGAACACAACCGAGCUCUUUAUCUCACGGUGAAGUGCGAAGAUUCUGUUGUCUCAAGGGUUUUGGUUGAUAAUGGCUCUAGUACGAAUAUUUGUCCCCUGUCUACUCUGCAAAAACUAAAGAUUGGCACCAAAAGAAUCCACUUGAACAGUGUGUGUGUUCGAGGCUUUUAUGGGGGAGGUAAAGAUUCUAUUGGAGAUAUAAUGCUCAAAUUGUCGAUAGGGCUAGUUGAGUUUACCAUGGAAUUCCAAGUGUUAGAUGUGACUAUCUCCUACAAUCUGUUGUUGGGCAGGCCCUGGAUACAUGCUGCUAAGGCAGUCCCGUCUUCUCUACACCAAAUGGUGAAGUUCGAAUGGGACAGGUAGGAAAUAGUUAUGCACGGUGAUGAGGACUUGUUAGCUUGUAAUGACACAAUUGUUCCGUUUAUUGAAGCUGAAUAUGAUAAGGGACCUUGGGUCUAUCAAACUUUCGAAACAGUGUCUGUUGAGAAAAUUCUCGAAGGAAAAUGCAUUCGGGGUCCUAAGCUAUCCUCCGCGUCCGUCAUGGUUACGGAUGAAAUGUUGAAGAAUGGUUUUAUGUCGGGCAAGGGUCUGAGCUCAUCUUUGCAGGGUAUUAUGCAUCCAGUGCGCCCUAGUGGGAAUCCUGGUACGUUUUGUUUGGGAUUCACACCCACAGAGAAGGACGUGAAAAGGGUUAAAAAUGUGAAACAAAAGGUAUGGUCGCUCCCCAAGCCCGUCCCACACAUCUCUAAGUCUUUUGUCAAGCCAAGGGCCGAAAAACCUCCAACCUCCUCAAUCCUAAAACCUGUGGUCGAUGUUGAUGAAGAGCUGAUCAAGAGGUUCCAAAGUUUGUUCGAAGAGGUCAAUAUGGUAGAAGUUGGUGAAGGCUCUAGUAUAUGAGAUGUGCAGCUCAUUGAACCAAACGUGAAGCUUGGCAAUUGGGAAGUUACUCCUCUCCCCACCAGGAAGGAGUUUUGGUAGUUUGCUUUGUUUUCUUUUCUGUUAUCUAGGUUAUUCUAGGGUUGUAAUACAGAUUUUUAGUUUUUGCUUGUUUUGAUGUUCAAACCCUUCUAUCCUUUUAUUUUCAAUGAAAUGCAAUUUCCUGUUUUUCGUUAUUCUUAAUAGUGUUUUAUUUUGUACAGUUCUUUUUUUGCUGGUUGUAGUGACAUGAUAUGCAUGAAGAAUUUUCAUCCGAGUCUUAAAAGCCAAUCUAAUUCUGAAAUAACAAUCCAAGAAGUGGAAUAUGAUGAUGAAAUAGAAUAUGAUGAAGAAGUAGCAUUUGAGGAAAUAAGUAAAAAAUAACAAUCCAAGAAGUAGAAUAUGAUGAUGAAAUAGAAUAUGAUGAAGAAGUAGCAUUUGAGGAAAUAAGUAAAGAGCUGAAACAAUUUGAAGAAAAACCGAAGACUAAUUUGAGUGAAACUGAAUUAAUCAAUUUAGAGGACCAGGAUGAUGUUAGGGAAACCAAGAUAAGUGUGCAUUUAGAACCACAAGUUAAGGAGGAAAUAAUCAAAAUAUUGUUUGAGUACAAAGAUGACUUUGCAUGGUCAUAUGACGAUAUGCCAGGCCUGAGCACUGAUCUGGUAGUUCAUAAAUUGCCAACUAAUCCAGCAUUCCCUCCUGUCAAGCAAAAGUUGCAAAAGUUCAAGACUGAUAUGAGUGUGAAGAUCAAAGAAGAAAUCACAAAGCAACUUACUGCAAAGGUCAUUCGGGUCACUCGAUAUCCCACUUGGUUAGCCAAUGUUGUUCCAGUACCAAAGAAGGAUGGUAAAACUAGGGUUUGUGUUGAUUACCAUGAUAUUAACAAAGCAAGCCCAAAAAAUGAUUUUCCAUUGCCGAACAUUCACAUUCUGAUCGAUAAUUAUGCCAAGCAUGAGAUUGGGUAUUUUGUGGAUUGUUACGCCGGAUCACCAGAUCUUGAUGGAUGAGGAAGAUGCAGAAAAGACAACGUUCAUCACGCCAUGGGGAACAUAUUGUUAUCGGGUAAUGCCAUUUGGUUUGAAGAAUGCUGGGGAAACGUACAUGAGGGCGAUGGCCACCAUAUUUCAUGAAAUGAUACACAGGGAGAUUGAGGUUUAAUGUAGAUGAUGUGAUCAUAAAGUCAAAGAAGCAGUCUGACCAUGUUAAGGACUUGAGGAAUUUUUUCCAAAGACUCCGCAGGUACAACCUUAAGCUCAAUCCAGCAAAAUGUGCAUUUGGUGUCCUGUCGGGGAAGCUGCUAGGAUUUGUGGUUAGUAGAUGUGGCAUUGAGUUAGAUCCAUCGAAGAUCAAAGCCAUUCAAGAGUUACCACCGCCAAAGAACAAAAUAGAGGUGAUGAGUUUGCUUGGAAGGUUAAUUACAUCAGCAGGUUUAUUGCUCAACUUACGACAACCUGUGAGCCCAUCUUUAAGCUGCUGAAGAAGAAUGCUGCAGUCAAGUGGACUGACGAGUGUCAAGAAGCAUUUGAUAAGAUCAAGAGAAACCUGUCAAAUCCACCUGUACUGGUCCCACCAGAGCCUAGAAGACCUUUAAUUCUCUAUUUGACAAUCUUGGAUAAUUCUUUUGGCUAUGUAUUGGGUCAACAUGACAUCACGGGAAAGAAGGAGCAAGCAAUCUAUUAUCUCAGUAAGAAGUUCACUCCCUAUGAGGUUAAGUACACUCUGCUUGAGAGGACAUGUUGCACCCUGACUUGGGUGGCACAAAAGUUGAAGCAUUAUCUGUCGUCCUACACUACUUACCUCAUUUCUCGCAUGGAUCCUCUAAAUUAUAUCUUUUAGAAGCCUAUACCCACGGGAAGACUGGCAAAGUGGCAGAUUUUACUUACAGAGUUUGACAUCAUCUAUGUGACUCGGACCGCGAUGAAAGCCCAAGCCUUGGCCGACCAUUUGGCCGAGAAUCUGGUGGAUGAUGAAUAUGAGCCACUGAAGACUUAUUUUCCUGAUGAAGAGGUCAUGUGUGUUGACGAGGUUGACCACGAUGAAAAGCCAGGUUGGAAACUCUUCUUUGAUGGAGUUGCUAACAUGAAAGGUGUCGGAAUAGGGGCAGUACUUAUCUCUGAAAUAGGGCAACACUACCCUGUAAUAGCCCAACUUCAAUUUUAUUGCACCAACAACAUGGCUGAGUAUGAAGCAUGCAUUCUGGGUUUGAGGUUAGCUAUAGACAUGGGAGUCCAGGAAAUACUUGUUUUGGGAGAUUCAGAUUUGUUGGUUCACCAGAUUCAAGGAGAAUGGGAGACUCGAGAUUUGAAGCUCAUAUCGUACUGACAGUGCCUGCAUGAUCUUUGUCAACGAUUCAAGUCGGUUGAAUUUAAACAUAUUCCCAGGAUUCAUAAUGAGAUUGCUGAUGCCUUGGCUACUCUGGCGUCAAUGUUACAUCAUCCGGACAAGGCUUUUGUCGACCCCGUGCAUAUCCAAGUUUAUGAUCAACAUGCUUAUUGUAAUGUGGUGGAAGAGGAAAUCAAUGGCGAACCUUGGUUCCAUGAUAUCAAGGAAUACAUCAAGUCGAGGAUAUAUCCAGUACAUGCUUCAGGUGACCAAAAGAGAACCAUUCAACGUCUGGCUAGUGGAUUUUUCUUGAGUGGAGGAAUCUUAUACAAGAGGACUCCGGAUUUAGGACUGCUGAGGUGCAUAGAUGCUAAAGAAGCUUCAACUAUCAUGGCCGAAGUGCAUUCUGGAGUUUGCGGGCUGCAUAUGAACGGGUAUGUCUUGGAAAAGAAGAUACUUCGAGUAGAUUAUUAUUGGCUCACCAUGGAGCGGGAUUGUAUCAAUUUUGUUCGCAAGUGUUAUCAAUGCCAGGUACACGGUGAUUUGAUUCAUUCUCCCCCAUCUGAGUUACACACAAUGUCUGUACCUUGGCCCUUUGUUACUUGGGGCGUGGAUGUUAUUGGACCAAUUGAGCUAGCAUCGUCAAACGGGCAUAGGUUUAUUCUGGUGGCCAUUGAUUAUUUUACCAAGUGGGUCGAAGCUGUAACUUUCAAGUCCGUGACCAAGAAGGCAGUGGUAGAUUUUGUUCAUUCAAAUAUCAUUUAUCGGUUCGGAAUUCCCAAGGUGAUCAUCAUAGACAAUGCUGCUAAUCUCAACAGUCAUUUUAUGAAAGAGGUAUGCUAACAGUUCAAGAUCAUGCUUCGGAACCCCACUCCGUAUCGCCCCAAGGCAAAUGGAGCUGUUGAGGCUGCCAACAAGAACAUAAAGAAGAUACUUCAUAAGAUGGUUCAAGGUUGUAGGUAGUGGCAUGAAAAGAUGCCUUUUGCUUUACUAGGUUAUCGCACUGUUGUUCGCACUUCAGUAGGUACAACUCCUUAUUUGCUAGUAUAUGGAACUGAGGUAGUUAUUCCUACAGAAGUUGAGAUUCCAUCCCUUCGGAUCGUUGCAGAAGCUGAAAUUAAUGAUGAUGAGUGGGUCAAAACCCGGCUAGAGCAGUUGAGUUUGAUUGAUGAGAAAAAAUUGGUUGCAGUAUGUCAUGGUUAAUUGUAUCAGAAGAGAAUGACAAGCGCAUAUAACAAAAAGGUGCAUCCUCGGAAAUUCGAAGUGGGCCAGAUGGUAUUGAAACGCAUCCUUCCUCAUCAGGCUGAAGCUAAAGGCAAGUUUGCCCCAAACUGGCAGGGGUCGUUCAUAGUGACAAGAGUGUUGCCCAAUGGUGCUUUGUAUUUAAUAGACAUAGAAGGCAAAUGUGUAGAUAUGUCUAUCAAUUCUGAUGCGGUCAAGAGGUACUAUGUAUGAGUCCUUUGCUUAUUUUCAGUCGCAUUUUCUACUUGGCAUGUUCAAGGUUGAAAUGAUGAAGGCAUUUUAUUCUGCUAUCCAAACACUUUUAUCCUUUGUUAUCCCUUUUGAGCCUUAUUUAUUUUCUUUCAUACCCCUAUUUUGGAAUCAGUAACAGAAUUAGAGAAUAAAAAAACUGAAUGAAUGAAUGAAAAAAAAGAAGAAAAAAAGAGAAAAGCAAGAAAAAAAAAAGAGAAAAAAGAAAGAAGAGAAAAAAAGAAAAAAAAGAAGAAAAAAGAAAAAAGAAAAGAAAAGAAAAGAAAAGCAACAAAAACAAACAACAUCCUUUUGAACUACGUUCGACCUAAUUCCUUUUAAGGAUACGUAGGCAACUUUACGGUUCGGUCCCAUCAAAAUAAAAAGUAAAAUUCCCUAUACCCAAAGAAACUGGGGCAGAAGUUUUGGUUUUGAAAAGAUCCGAUUCCAAAAGUUGUAAUUUUGACCCUUUUUCAUCUCAAAUUAUUUUGAGCCUUCAUGCCACCAUUUCUUUCUAACCCUGUCCAAAAGCUUCCAUUACGGUCGAAAGAAAGACCUUCCGAUCAAUCUUUGAGGAUGCCAGGUCAAGCGAGAUAGAGGUAUGAUUUAUAUCAUGGGUAACACUUUGUUCAUGGGCACAAGAGAGAAUUUAAAAUGAGAGAGUCUUAUUGGUGAAAACCCUCACGGGCACCGUAAGACGAUGGUGAGCUGAGAGAAAAUUUAAAAUGAGAGAGUCUUAUUGGUGAAAACCCUCACGGGCACCGUAAGGCGAUGGUGAGCUAAGAAAAAAUUUAAAAUGAGAGAGUCUUAUUGUUGAAAACCCUCGCGGGCAUCGUAGGGCGAUGGUGAGUUGAGAGAUGAACAAAGAAGAGAAGUUUGUGGGUGAAAACCCUUCGAGGCACUACAAAUCGAGUGAGGCUCAUGACUCUACAGAGAAAUUGGAUCAGUAAAAACCCAGUUUGUGAAGUAUGAAGACAUGACAUGAACUGAACUAUGAUUGGUUGGAAAAUUAGGCUGAUCAAUCCGAAAUGCAUGUCAUGGUCAUUAAAGCCAGCCGCUUCACUCAGAUAAGUCUUCUUUUCCCAUUCUUCUUCACAUAGUCGUCUGUGUUCAAAAUUUUCCUUUGUUCCUUUUGCCAAAAAUCAUCUCACUUUGCUCUUUGAGUCUAUCGUUAUGAGUCUCUUUCGAGUUAGCCUUGUUGAACAAGCAGGAAAGGUUUCCAAAGCCUACUACCAGCUUCUAAAUUGCACAAAGCGGAGUUCGGCCAGGCACAUCACAAGUGACUUAAUUUAGAAUAAGCAGUAUGGUGCUAACUGAGGUUCAGACAAUCAUUUGAAUCUUAAAUUUUGAGAAAAUACAAGGACUCAACAACUUUCAGAAUGAAAACUCAAUGCAACAAGUGAGUGUAAGAGAUUCAGAUCAUUUAGAGGUUUUGUGGUCCAUUUCCAAUCAAAAGGUCAAAAAAUUCCUUGCUGGCUCGAAGCAGCUGAUCAGAAUGAAGCAUGGCAGUGGCAGAAGCAGACGCUCAGCAAUGAUGCCACAAAUUAACCACCACGUUUUCCAACUAACAAGAUUUUAUUUGUCUGAAACAGGGGCAAGAAAAUUUUUUAAUCCACAAGGACCCUCCCACGAAGAAGGCAUGGUUCAGGGGCAAGAAAUUCUGUUAAGAAUACUCCAAGACGAGAGCAUGGCUCAGGUAAGUUCAUUCUCAAUUUUCAGGACCCUCCUGGAUAAUGAGAUUUAAUUUAAAAUUCUCAGGACCCUCCUGGAUAAUGGAAUUUAAUUUUAAAAUUUUCAAAACCCUCCUGGAUAAUGGGUUAAUUUUUAAAAGUUCUCAGGAUCCUCCUAGAUAAUGGGAGUCAAUUUAAAAUUUUCAGGACCCUCCUGGAUAAUGGGAUUUAACUUUAAAAGUUCUCAGGACCCUCCUGGAUAAUGAGAUUUAAUUUAAAACUUUCAGGACUUUCCUGGAUAGUGGGAUCUAGUUAGGUUUCAAAACCUUUAUAGAUAACAAGAUUUAACGUAAGUUCUAUCUGUAGGAAAUAUAACUUAGCUUUAAAGUUAUCACUCUUAAGAUGAUAUUUAAUUUGAAGUUUUCAAGGACCUCCUGGAUAAUGGGAUUUAGCUUUUAAAUUCUUAGAGCUCUUUAGAUAACAUGAUUCGAUUAACACUCACAGAUGUGCCCAGACUCCAAACUGGGACAGAAAAUUUCUUUUGUUUUGUUUGUUUUGUUGUAAUGGCAGGCGCCCACCUGGAUAACGAGGGAAUACAAUUUAAGUUUUAUCAAUCAGGCUCCCACUUGGAUAACAAAGGAAUACAAUUCAAGUUUUAGCAGUCAGGCGCCCACCUAGAGAACGAGGGAAUUCGUUUCUCAAUUUAUUUUCAAGUUCACGUCAUUGGCAGGCAUCCACCUGGAGAAUGAGGGAAUUCAUUUCAAGUUUCAAGUUGGUCGUAGGCGCCCACCUAGAGAACGAGGGAAUUCAUUUCAGAGUUACUUCAAUUCGCAAAUUUAAGAAGCAUCGGGAGCCCGCCUGAAGAACAGGCUUCAUUUUUCAGUUUCAUAUUGAAGAUCAAGUAGAGAUCCAAGGAAGAUUCAAGACAAGAAGUAGAUAGGAUCUUGUAUUUUUCUUUUACUUCUACUGUAAUUGUUUCCAUUUAUAUUCGAUGUAAUGGCAGGAACUGCGGACCGGAACCUCGACGGCACUUCACUCGGCUCUCCACAUCGGUAUACUCCAUCGCUCUUCUCACUCCGAACUACACGUGGCUUGAUUCCUUUAUAGCCAAGGAUAUGUAGGCAGCUCAGAUACCACGACUCGGUCACAUUCUCUUUUCUUUAGUUUUUGUCUCUCUAUAUAAGGUCGGGUCAAAAAACAUGUCUUGUUGUUCUUUGUCUGAAAACACUUUGUGUUUCCCGUCAAAGAGGGGCAGCUGUAGACAUGUAAUUUUUGACUCACGCAUUAGAAUCACCUCUAAUAGUUCUAGUAUUUUUAGGAUAUUUAUUCGGGUUUAUUUAUAUAGGAUUUUACAUUAUUACUAAUUUUAACUCUAUUUUUAAAGCACAAAAAAUCAAAAAUACAAAAAUAGUUUCAUGUUUUAUCUUAUUUCUAUUUAGUUUAGUAUUACUAAUUAUUUUUGUAGUCUAAUAUAUUUUUUNNNNNNNNNNNNNNNNNNNNNNNNNNNNNNNNNNNNNNNNNNNNNNNNNNNNNNNNNNNNNNNNNNNNNNNNNNNNNNNNNNNNNNNNNNNNNNNNNNNNNNNNNNNNNNNNNNNNNNNNNNNNNNNNNNNNNNNNNNNNNNNNNNNNNNNNNNNNNNNNNNNNNNNNNNNNNNNNNNNNNNNNNNAUAUAUAUAUAUAUAUAUAUAUAUAUAUAGUGCAUAGUAUGAUAUAUUUUACUUUAAUCAUAAUUAAUUUUAAAUUAUUAUUUUUUUAUAAAGAAAAGGUUGAGUUUUUAAAAUUGAUAGAUUUAAAAGGUUAUAGUCCCAAAUUUUGGCCCAAUUUCGGGUAAGAAGAGGCCCAAAUCUGGGCAGCCCAUCCCUUUCCCUUAACCCGCCAGAGAUCCACCCAAAUGACCCAACCCGCUCCAUCUUCCUGAUUAAAUCUCGACCAUCCAUUCACCAAAUCCAACGGUCCACCUUAUUUCCCCACACCCAAAUACAAACUCAGUUAUAUCACUCCAACCCCUAAACCUAAAGACUAAACCAACCACACCCUCUUCUCCCUCACACCUCCUGCUAUCAUAACCCAACCCAAACCUCACCAUAAACGAACCCUCAUGGUCCCCCCUUCCUCUCCUUUCUCUCUUUCACGUUAUCAAGACCAUAACGACCUCUGUCAGAAGAAGAUAUUCCAUUUUACCCGUUUCUACGCGCUCUUGCUUCCCUUGGUUAGAAUUCGGAUUAAUGGUAGACGUAGGAUUUGAAGACUUUAAAUCCUAGUUUUUCAUUUGUCUUAGAACCAUCCAUAAAGAAGAACAAGAGGGGAUUUUCAUUUGGGGGCAGGGAAUUUUCGGAAUUUAUUGAAGGGCAAAUUCGGGUUUUUGGGGGGAAUUUCUUGUUGAAGAAGGAGAAGCUUCGAGAGGGAGCUAUAUAUUUGGGUCUGGACAGAGAUGGGGGAGGUUUUUAUUUCGGAGAAAAUUAGGAAAAGAAGAAGGGCGAGGGUUUUCUGAUUUUCAUGUUCUUCUUUCCAAUUUUCACUUCAUUGGCGUACAAAAAGCUUAGAGCUCUCUAUUAGUCUUUCUUUUGAUUUUCAAAACAGAAAAUACCAAAAAAAAAUAUCAGCUUCUGAUUUGUUUAACAAGAAAUGGAGUUUAGCUGAGGUCCGUCAACUGCUCGAGAGGUAUUUGUUCGUGGUUCCUACCGCUGCUGUGUCGCUGGUUCGAUUCCUGUUUGUCUGCUACUAUUACUUCAAAUUUCAGUGCCGAGUUCACUUGUAUUCAAUUUCAAACGAACUUAAUUGAAGAAUUUUGCAAUUUCAGGUUCACCUCUCUCCUUCCUAUUCUUGUUAAUGGUCAUUGAAACAUGAUAAAAGCCGUAGGUUUGUCAAAUUUGGACAGUGUUUGAGUCGACUUAGAAAAGGGAUGGGUUGAGGGAUGAUUUGCGCGAACAUGUAUGGGAGUUAUACUUAAAUGUUCUGGAAUGCCUUUUGGCUCGGAUUAUUUGCCUUGUGACCUGAAUGAUUGAUGUCCAAUCGAUUGUGAAAUGGUGCAAUUUAAUAUGUGUUCAUGCUUGUCUCGAUCGCUUUCAUUGAAUACUCGGGCUGCUGGUUUUGUUAUGUGAAUUAGCAUAUGAAAAUAAGUGAAUCAUGCUUAGAGUCAAGUUAUUCUGCCUGUCAUAUUGCAUUUCACUCACUGAUGUUGCAACUUACUGUUAAUUUUGCUCGUCCUUGUUAGUUUCCCUAUAAUUCACAUGUCUGCACGCACUUAAGAGUUAUUGAAUGUUAAUCUGACUCUAACAUACACUUCAACCUAGUGAGUUUGUUGAUUAAUGGCAUCCCUGAUUUGCAUAUUGAGAUCAUUUCCUCCAUGAAAGGUAUUCUUGCAUGUUUCAGUCCAUAACCCUUUUUUUUAAAACACAUGGCAUUUGGUGCUUUGCUUCUUUUGUUAACUAGAAGAUCGAUCGCAUAGCUAAGGUCUAGGAUGAUUAUUUCAUUGCUCCCGAGUUUAUUUUGUUGGCUUAUUUGAGUUGAACCUGGAUAAUUGACAAAGUUGGAAUAUCUGCGAUUGUGAUUUAAUGUUGAAUCGCAUUGAGUGUAAUCAGAUUACUAAUGUUUAGAUUCAUUCAUAUCUGGUGAUUUCUUAUUGAUGUGUCUAUGUGCAUCCAACUUCACUUGUAAACAACAAAAGGUUAGUAUUCAUGUUUUGCGGAGACCGUAUUUGAACCAAGGAAUUAGAAGCCCUGUUGUUGCCCUUUGCAUAACUCAGGUGAUGGUGAUUCCAUAUGCAUUGGACUGCAAAGUCCUUCUGUUAAGAUAAUAGAUUAGAUCUUCAUAUAAAGGACCAAUACAUGUGUAGCUUUAGUGCAUUAAACAUGAAUUGUUUCUCUCAUUUUCUCUGUAGGGAGUUUAUGCUUUGGUGAGGCCUAAGGCGUAUAUUUUAAUGUGCUUGCUUGCAUGUGAUAUCCUAGAAUAUUUUAAUGUGUUUGUCUGCUUGUGAUGUCCCAGAUGGCCGAAUGGUUUUAUCAAUUGCCCUUUCACGUUGGUUUGUUCCAAUAGAAAACCAUGUUCUUAUGUUCUGUUGAUGAGUCGGCGUCAUGCGGGUGUUACAUAAGUUUCAAUUGAAUUUAAGACAGGGUCCUUCAUUUAAAUGGUGUUAGUUGGGGUGCUGUGAGUGAGAUCAACAAGACGUAGGUGGCUCUUAUCAUAUUUCAAGCAUACCAACUCUUCUUUAUUCUAUUUUGUUACUAUCUUCUUUAUUAGUUUAUUGCCUCAGUGUUUGUUUGUCUUUCUGUAUUAUUUGGCCUUAUGGAAUUUGUUCAGUUGAAUGAUUGUUGGGCUGUGGGGGUAGGGAGAUGCCGAAGCCCAUUAGCAAUUAAUUUAUUUCCCUGCUUUAGGUAACCGGCUCGGCCUAAUAAAAUGAAAAGUUAAAAACAAAACAUGAGCAUGAAUCGAAUUGUUUCUUUUACUUAGUUCUUUUGUUUAGUUCUUUUUAUUUUCUUUAUUGAUGAUAUCAUUCGUUAGGAGCAUGUCUAGGCCGACUACAACUUGGUUAGGCAAGCCUUAGGAUUUUUAUUAGUUUCGAGGUGAGAGGUCAUUCCCUUAGUUAAAUUUGUCCGGGGAAUGCCCCGAGGGAUUUGUAUAUAUUUUAUUAUUUCAGGGGUAUGCCUCAAAAUGAAUGUAAAUGGAAGCCAAAAG